rnacentral:lncRNA from 1 species
UUGCACACAAUUUACUUCACAGGUGCUGCAGGUCUUACAUGAUGCAUGUUAGUUUUGAGAGUGGAAGUAAACAUUUUGCAAAGGUGCUAUGAGCCCUCAGCCCCCCAAGUGGGUAGCAUUUGAACAUUACAGGGCCUUACUAAAAUUUGAAAUAUAGGUAGCAUGAUGUCUUGACCUUUCCACUUAGGAAAAAAGCAGACUUUUGCUACUAUUCAUAUAUUGCACAUGCCAUCUUGCAGCAUAUGUGAGAGGAAUAUCUCCCAAGAUGUAUCUAAAUACUAAUAAAAAAGGACUAAUAAUAACAAAUAUCAAAAUUUCAAAAUAAAUAAAAAUAAAUAAAACAACAACAACAACCUUAAGGAAAGCUAAUUUUGUACCC